GAUGAACGCUGGCGGCGUGCCUAAUACAUGCAAGUCGAGCGAACCACUUCGGUGGUGAGCGGCGAACGGGUGAGUAACACGUAGGUGAUCUGCCCAUCAGACGGGGACAACGAUUGGAAACGAUCGCUAAUACCGGAUAGGACGAAAGUUUAAAGGUGCUUCUGGCACCGCUGAUGGAUGAGCCUGCGGCGCAUUAGCUAGUUGGUAGGGUAAAGGCCUACCAAGGCGACGAUGCGUAGCCGACCUGAGAGGGUGAACGGCCACACUGGGACUGAGACACGGCCCAGACUCCUACGGGAGGCAGCAGUAGGGAAUCUUCGGCAAUGGGCGAAAGCCUGACCGAGCAACGCCGCGUGAAUGAUGAAGGCCUUCGGGUUGUAAAACUCUUUUGUCAGGGAAGAAACACCGGCUCUAACACAGUCCGGGAAUGACGGUACCUGAGGAAUAAGCACCGGCUAACUACGUGCCAGCAGCCGCGGUAA
rnacentral:rRNA from 1 species